rnacentral:lncRNA from 1 species
GCCAGAAAAAGUUAGAUAUUUUGAAUAUGAUGAAGAUAAUAAUCUUCAUAAUCGAGUUUGAUUUGAAAAAGGAAUCUACCUAAUUUAAAUAAGAGUAAUUUAUGGAAAAGGAAAAUAUUGAAAGAUGAAUUUAAGAGAUUUCAAACAAUAAAAGGGAAAGUAGAAAUAAGUUAAAGGAAAGAGAAGGACAAGUGACAUGAAAAAGGGAACCUUAUACAUGGUAACUUCUCAAACGCAG